CGUUAUUCGGAAUCACUGGGAUUAAAGGGUGCGUAGGCUGCGCAGCAAGUUGGGUGUGAAAUCCCUCGGCUUAACCGAGGAACUGCGCCCAAAACUGCUGUGCUCGAGGGAGAUAGAGGUGAGCGGAACUUAGGGUGGAGCGGUGAAAUGCGUUGAUAUCCUAAGGAACACCGGUGGCGAAAGCGGCUCACUGGAUCUCUUCUGACGCUGAGGCACGAAAGCUAGGGUAGCGAACGGG
rnacentral:rRNA from 1 species